rnacentral:rRNA from 1 species
GACGUAGGGGGCAAGCGUUGUCCGGAAUCAUUGGGCGUAAAGCGCUCGUAGGCGGAUCAGUAAGUCUGUGAAGAAAGACCCGGGCUCAACUCGGGGAACGGCAUGGAUACUAUUGAUCUUGAGGUAAUCAGAGGAUGAUGGAAUUCCCGGUGUAGCGGUGAAAUGCGUAGAUAUUGGGAGGAACACCAGUGGCGAAGGCGGCUCACUGGACCGGUACUGACGCUGAGGCGCGAAAGCGUGGGGAGCAAACGGG